UUGGAGGGCAAGUCUGGUGCCAGCAGCCGCGGUAAUUCCAGCUCCAAUAGCGUAUAUUAAAGUUGUUGCAGUUAAAAAGCUCGUAGUUGAAUUUCGGGAUCAAUAUGUCGGUCGUGCCUUCGGUACGUACUGGCAUCAUUGGUUUCUCCCUUCUGACAAACCAUGAUGUCAUUAAUUUGGUGUUAUGGGGAGUUAGGACUGUUACUUUGAAAAAAUUAGAGUGUUUAAAGCAGGCAUUAGCUUGAAUACAUUAGCAUGGAAUAAUGAAAUAGGACGUUUGACCCUAUUUUGUUGGUUUCUAGGAUCGACGUAAUGAUUAAUAGGGAUAGUUGGGGGCAUUAGUAUUCAAUUGUCAGAGGUGAAAUUCUUGGAUUUAUUGAAGACUAACUACUGCGAAAGCAUUUGCCAAGGAUGUUUUCAUUAAUCAAGAACGAAAGUUAGGGGAUCGAAGACGAUCAGAUACCGUCGUAGUCUUAACCAUAAACUAUGCCGACUAGGGAUCGGAUGAUGUUAAUUUUUUAAUGACUCAUUCGGCGCCUUACGGGAAAC
rnacentral:rRNA from 1 species